AUGCGUUGUGUUAAUAACACAGAAACAGAUCACAAACAAGUCAAAGUUAGGAUGUUAAUUCAAGCCAUAGGGAUGGAAGACUGGGGCUUCUGGUCCUGACAGGGGGCAGCUCAACCAGUGAAGAAUGGUCCAGGCAGCUGGUGUGACUAAGCCAUGCCUUGUAAGGAUGGGGCGGAGUGGCGUAGACUGUGAAGGCAUUGAGGAGUCUCUUAGCCGCACUUGAGGGAAGCCGUCACAGGAUGUGAGCAGAGCCAGGCUCAGGGGCAGCGUCUGAAAAGGGAGUCUGUUUGAGAAUCAAAGCCCACCGGGUCCACCCUCUGCAC